GGUGAGUAAUGCCUAGGAAUCUGCCUGGUAGUGGGGGACAACGUUUCGAAAGGAACGCUAAUACCGCAUACGUCCUACGGGAGAAAGUGGGGGAUCUUCGGACCUCACGCUAUCAGAUGAGCCUAGGUCGGAUUAGCUAGUUGGUGAGGUAAAGGCUCACCAAGGCGACGAUCCGUAACUGGUCUGAGAGGAUGAUCAGUCACACUGGAACUGAGACACGGUCCAGACUCCUACGGGAGGCAGCAGUGGGGAAUAUUGGACAAUGGGCGAAAGCCUGAUCCAGCCAUGCCGCGUGUGUGAAGAAGGUCUUCGGAUUGUAAAGCACUUUAAGUUGGGAGGAAGGGCAGUAAGUUAAUACCUUGCUGUUUUGACGUUACCGACAGAAUAAGCACCCGGCUAACUUCGUGCCAGCAG
rnacentral:rRNA from 1 species